CGGAGUAUAGUGUAAUGGCAGCACGAGUCCUUCGGGAGGAUUUAGUCCCGGUUCAAAUCCGGGUACUCCGA
rnacentral:tRNA from 1 species